GACGAAGGAUGCAAGCGUUAUCCGGAUUCAUUGGGUUUAAAGGGAGCGUAGGUGGCCUUAUAAGUCAGUGGUGAAAUCUCUCAGCUUAACUGAGAAAUUGCCAUUGAUACUGUAGGGCUUGAGUACAGAUGCCGUUGGCGGAAUAUGACAUGUAGUGGUGAAAUACAUAGAGAUGUCAUAGAACACCGAUUGCGAAGGCAGCUGACGAAACUGUAACUGACACUGAGGCUCGAGAGUGCGGGGAUCAAACAGG
rnacentral:rRNA from 1 species